GAGCUUGCUCCUUUGACGUUAGCGGCGGACYGGUKAGUAACACGUGGAUAACCUACCUAUAAGACUGGGAUAACUUCGGGAAACCGGAGCUAAUACCGGAUAAGAUUUUGAACCGCAUGGUUCAAUAGUGAAAGACGGCCUUGCUGUCACUUAUAGAUGGAUCCGCGCCGUAUUAGCUAGUUGGUAAGGUAACGGCUUACCAAGGCAACGAUACGUAGCCGACCUGAGAGGGUGAUCGGCCACACUGGAACUGAGACACGGUCCAGACUCCUACGGGAGGCAGCAGUAGGGAAUCUUCCGCAAUGGGCGAAAGCCUGACGGAGCAACGCCGCGUGAGUGAUGAAGGUCUUCGGAUCGUAAAACUCUGUUAUCAGGGAAGAACAAAYGUGUAAGUAACUGUGCACGUCUUGACGGUACCUGAUCAGAAAGCCACGGCUAACUACGUGCCAGCAGCCGCGGUAAUACGUAGGUGGCAAGCGUUAUCCGGAAUUAUUGGGCGUAAAGCGCGCGUAGGCGGUUUUUUAAGUCUGAUGUGAAAGCCCACGGCUCAACCGUGGAGGGUCAUUGGAAACUGGAAAACUUGAGUGCAGAAGAGGAAAGUGGAAUUCCAUGUGUAGCGGUGAAAUGCGCAGAGAUAUGGAGGAACACCAGUGGCGAAGGCGACUUUCUGGUCUGUAACUGACGCUGAUGUGCGAAAGCGUGGGGAUCAAACAGGAUUAGAUACCCUGGUAGUCCACGCCGUAAACGAUGAGUGCUAAGUGUUAGGGGGUUUCCGCCCCUUAGUGCUGCAGCUAACGCAUUAAGCACUCCGCCUGGGGAGUACGACCGCAAGGUUGAAACUCAAAGGAAUUGACGGGACCCGCACAAGC
rnacentral:rRNA from 1 species